UUUCUUUUUGGACCAAAUGCUGGCUGGGUAAUUUGGACUUGUAAAUGAACUUAUAUUCAUAAUUUUUAAACUGCUUAUGAUCUGAUCUGAUUUUAUUUUUGUCAUUUGUUUAUUUAGAUUAAUGUGAAAUAAACUGAUGAGUUUAUUUAACUUAGCUGGUAAAAAAAAAGAGUUUUCGUGAAACAAAUUUAAUGAAGACAGUUAUAGAAUGAAGUUCAUUCAUUUGCUGGCAACAUUUUUAAACGUGGUCCAGAUCGAAAAAAUUUGGUGCCAGAAAUAGUCGAUAGUGGAAGUGAUAGAUGCAUCGAACCUAAUUUGUAAUUAAUUUCUGUAAAUAAAUUUCACUUUAUUAA
rnacentral:lncRNA from 1 species